CCUACGGGAGGCAGCAGUGAGGAAUAUUGGUCAAUGGGCGCAAGCCUGAACCAGCCAUGCCGCGUGCAGGACGACGCAUCUAUGGUGUGUAAACUGCUUUUGUACGGGAAGAAACCCUGCCACGUGUGGCAGAUUGACGGUACCGUAAGAAUAAGGAUCGGCUAACUCCGUGCCAGCAGCCGCGGUAAUACGGAGGAUCCAAGCGUUAUCCGGAAUCAUUGGGUUUAAAGGGUCCGUAGGCGGUUUUAUAAGUCAGUGGUGAAAUCCGGCAGCUCAACUGUCGAACUGCCAUUGAUACUGUAGGACUUGAAUUAUUGUGAAGUAACUAGAAUAUGUAGUGUAGCGGUGAAAUGCUUAGAUAUUACAUGGAAUACCCAUUGCGAAGGCAGGUUACUAACAAUAUAUUGACGCUGAUGGACGAAAGCGUGGGGAGCGAACAGGAUUAGAUACCCUGGUAGUCCACGCCGUAAACGAUGGAUACUAGCUGUUCGGAUGNAUAUNGUGNGAGAGAAGAGANAUAUACACCNCGGAGACGACGACGAGUUAGUAACGUACGAAGAGUAGUAGACGAGAGAGAGAGACGACGACGACGACGGAGGGAGGAGG
rnacentral:rRNA from 1 species